ensembl:lncRNA
GGACUAUGGAUUCCUAUGAAAUGAUCCUGAAAAUUUCAGACCUCUAGCUCUUUUUGUUCAGAAGUUAUAGAAGCCUGAAAAUAGCAGAAAAUUUCAAGUCUUAAUUUUGGUCGCAAUUUUAGGGUACCCCCUACCUACUUCACAUGGUCAUAACUUUGGAACUCUUGACAAUUAAGCCUUGAAAUUUUGGAUUUUUCCAUCAUGUAUAAUGUUUUAUACGUAUGUAAAAAUUUAGAAAAAUCUGAGCGGGUCAAGUGGGAAAUUUUCUUAAAAGCUGUUGACUUCAUAUGGAAUGACCCAUACGCUACAGGACCAUUUCACCUAUGUCACAGAUGAAGCUCAGUUUAUUACUCAUACUGUGAUAACUACUGUGGCUCAGGAAGGGCCUUAUAGGUCUGAGAAAUAUCCCUGUCACCACGGCUCUAUCACCAUUUAUGAGGUUUCAUUGUGGGAGAUGUAGUUUUAACAGUUUUGGAGUACGACUCAUUGUAGAAACCAAAAGUUUCUUGGCUUCUGCUGUUUUGAUUUUGACAGUUCUUCUUGGAAUUGCUACACUAAAUAUCUGGAUUUACCUAAUGUUAAGAUAAAUGUCAGUCUGAGUGUCGGAGUGUUGCUGUCUCACUAAGUGAGCAUGACGAGAUGAUUUAAAGAUGGAAAAUGAAUACUUCAUCUUUACUUGGGACACUUUACAAUGUAAUCUUAUUUACAACAGAAACUCUCAAUGUAUUUCCUGUUGAGAACAAACCUGAUAGUUGACAUGUUCCUGAUGUCUGCUGAUGGAGGUUUUGCUGUCUGUAGCUGUUUCUAUGGUGACAUUCAGUUUGUCCAUGUAUACUAAGGAAUCUCUGAUGUAACGAUGCUUGUAAAUGCAUCAUGUGGCGUACUGUGGGCUGUUAACACCGGCAGUAUGACCAAACACUAUCAUCUUCAUGAGUACAUGCUUUUCUUCAUUUUAUCAUGUGUCUCCUUAAUUUGAGAGGCGUGACUUUACUAUUUAUAUUUAAAUGCUUGUACACAUGCCUUUAUCGCAUGAAAAUUGAUAAAGCCUUUUUAUUUUAAUAAAUAUUGCACAAAUGAUUUCAUGGAAAUUGCUGCUAUUAGCAUUGUAAAUUUAACUGUAAAUGGAUCAAUUGAUUGAAUCUAACGCUCUAUAUCUCUUACUGUGCAUUCGAUUGAAUUUUAAUAGUUUGUUUUUGAGACUCAAAUGGACAAACUGAAGUCAGAGCUUUUGGUUUAGUGGCCGACAUAAUGAUAAAAUUUCUACAAAAGUGGCACUUUGUCAUGUGAGCCUUAAAGCAGAGAUGGCUAGAAUAUUUUCUGUGUGAAAAUCAAUUAUGUAUUGAUUCUAAAGAGAAAUGAGGAAACUAUAAUGUUGGAAUUGCAGUAAAUUGAAAUAUAAGACGAGGCACAGUAUAUCACCAUAGUCUAGUUUAUUAUCUGUGUAUUUAUUGUCUGGCCUUAAAGCCCAGGACACUGGAGUCCUCUGGUUGGUGGCUGUCUGUAUGUCAUCGAUUGGCAGGUUGUGAAGUGUUUUGUAGGUGGGACUCUUGUUGGGUUAGUUCAUUUUUGUAUAUAUCUAUAUAAUGUUGUGGUUUGUAACCGUUAGGUGGUAAUGAAGGAAGGACGUGAAGUUUUCUUGUGUGUGGUUGUGUAGUGUGUGUGAGACUGUUGGGUGGACCUGGCUCUGAUUCAGUCAUGUCUGUGAGUCCUUGCCAAGAUGGGAAAUGACCACCAGCUGUCACGUCACUUUGAAUUCUUGGGACUUUUGCUGAGAGCAACAAACUUUUGACCUCCCUGCUCUCUUUAAAAAAAAAACAAAAACAAAUUUAAAAAAAAAAAUUUUUUUAAGAAGUCCCAGGGUCUGUGGCUGGUGGAUUUUCCCAACCUGGUCUCUGCUCAGACACCUUUAUAGGGGUUUGAGAUCACUUCAGGCUUCUGGAUGUCCUUUUUAUGUUAUUGUGCCUCAGAAACCAUGUGACCAUCUUCCAUACACUGUUUUUAUAUCAAUGUGUCUAUUAUUAAUUUGCACAAAAGUCUCCAGAGGAAUUGAGGAGUUCAUUACUGGAACACAUGUAUAUGGAAGAAAAAAUACAACCUUUUUUAUGAACCGGUGUCCUCAAGUUACCUGUUCUUCUCUCAGUUUAACAUUUUGAGGUUUUGGAGCAGUAGUCUUCAGCUAUAGUCCUUGACUCACUGCUAAACUCUAUAUUAAGUCAAAAUAACAGAAACUGGUGUAAUUGUGAGGGAAUGUUUUACACGACAGCGGAACUAAGCUCACAUAUAGUGAUAAGAUAUGACAACAUGUGUCUUUACUUCCAGCACACACCCUCUCUGUAACUUCCCUCAGUUAAAAUAGAUGCACAUCAUCCUCAGAGCAACAAGACAUUUUACCAAGAAGCUGCACAACAACAAGAGUGUUUAGAUCAGGAUAGAUUCAAAGUCAAUAUUCAUUUCAGUGGUCUCCACCUCUCCACCUCUGAGGUCAGGGCUAAGCCAGCAAUGUUAGUUAUGUGAUAACAACCAUUAGAACCACAUUCAGUUCUUUUUAUGUCAUGUGAUUUGGAUCUACACUACGGUUCAAAAGUUUGGGGUCACCCAGGCAAUUUCAUGUUCUCCAUGAAAACUCACGCUUUUAUUCAUGUGUCAACAUAAUUGCACAAGGGUUUUCUAAUCACCAAUAAGCCUUUCAACACCAUUAGCUAAAACAAUGUAGCAUUAAAAUACAGGAGCGAUGGUUGCUGGAAAUGUUCCUCUGCACUCCUAUGUAGAUAUUCCAUUAAAAAUCAGCCGUUUUCAGCUAGAAUAGUAUUUCUGAAUCACUUAAUGCUAUCAUCAUUGAAAAAAAUGGAUUUUCUUUUAAAAUUAAGGACAUCUCUAAGUGACCCCAAACUUUUGAACCGUAGUGUAAGUCCAGCCUAUACAGAUCUCUAGGAGUCUUCAGCCCUUCACAGUGUUUCCUUUUUGUUGACUUUUAUUGUUUUAAGUGCUUUUAUUUUUCUUAGAUACACCCCAUAUCUUUGUGCAAAAUGUUGCAUUUCUGUAGUUCUGUGCCAACUACAGGAUCACCUGUCUGGAGCAGCUCCUGCCUUAACUUGCCCUUCAACCUGGAACCAGACUGGUUUUAGCAGGAACUAUCUCAGCUCUCUAACUGAACAUGCUGUACUCACAGUAAACCCUCAGCAUACUGUGUUUAAAAUAGGGUCAUUCCAAAACCAUGGAAACCCUUUCUGGUUUAUUGACUGAAAGAGUCUCUACUAAAAGAGUUGUUUAAUAGGUCACAGAAUCACAGAAUCCUUUUUUUUUUUGUUGUUGUUUUUUUUUACUACCUGUGUUUCCAUAUCAUAUUUUUAUGCGCAUUUUAAAGUAAUGCAUUCGAAAAAGUUAAAUGAAACAGCAAAUGACUUUUUUUUUAAAAAGGUCCCCAGUUUUACAUUGUUUGAACCAAAUUGAGGUAUUUUGAACUUUUUCAAAAAAGAGGUAAAGUGCCCAGUAGAUAGAAGCACCUUUUUCAAAAAGGUUUUCACAUAGAAAACGAUGAACUCAUCUGACUGAUCUGCUGCUUCCACUUCUUUCAUUGUCUUCAACAUUAGACAGUAUAAAACAUGUCAAAUACCAUCAAAACUGUCAUGAAUAAAUAGUUACAGCUUGCUGACUGAAAACAGUUCCUGACAACCUCUAUUUUUCACUCAUGGAUGACCAAGUCUUGUUUGUUCCUUCUUCUUCAAGGUUUUGUGGUUUUGUUUCCACCUUCCUCCAUGCUUUAAUCCAGCCAUAGGUAACGCAGCCUGUACAUGUCCACUCUGCACAGCUUAGUUUGUUCACGCUACAAUGGUUCAUUGAAACAAGCCUAUUUUAAUGUUAGUUUUUUUGUGGUUUUUUUUUUUUUUUGAUAUUUCAAAAGCUUGCUUUGAAUUUGCUUGACAUUGAUGCAGAUAUAUGGCUACUGUUUGAGUGUGAGGAAGGCUGAUGUGUUGCCCCCUAGUGGCUGCUGGAAAACCUGAAAAAGGCCUUUCUUCCACACAGGGUUCUAUACAAGACAACUAGAAAAUCAUUGAAACUAUAACCCACCAUAACAGAUGCCUGCGAUGGAAUCAGAUUUUCUAUUUGUUGUCUUUGGACUUGUGUUGGACUAGAAUGUAUUUUCCGGCCCUGGUAGUGAAUUUUCAUCCUGUAACUACCUCCGUCCAUGCUCUUGGCCAUCUAGAUUGUUCAACCACCGUAUUUUUAGAGCUGACAGUUAAACGUGCUUCACUACUGACCCAGCUGCAACCACUUCCCUUUUCUGUGUGUUUUCAAAUAUUAUAAUAAACCACACAAACAAGCAAUAUGUAGCUAACAGUUGAUGCAGUGCAGCCUUGUUGCAGGUGCAUUUUUUUCCAGCUUUAGGCCAUGUCUGAACGUUUCAGCUGGGUCUGCUUUCCAGGAACACUCAGAUACAACUCCUCCUCCUCCUGGUGCAUUUUAAAGUCUGUUGAUAUCAAUGUUCCUCCAAGGUACCAGCAGCCAUAUUUAGCUGAGCUGUGUAAUGAUGGAAGGCUAAUAGGAGCUUAACGAGAGGGUUUGGUGCUUGUUAAGUCAAGGAGUUCACUCCUGCUGUUAUUUCUGCAAAAAUAAAAAUCCCCUCCAGCCCUGUAGCUUUUCACACUUUCAGCUGAAGAGAUGCUAAGUUUGAAAUGACCUUGGUCAACAGUAUUACUGUCUGUCAUCCUAACUAAUCAUUAUCAGUCACUGCUACUGUUGAUUCUGUGGAGCGUUUGUCUUGAUUUGUCAUCUGUAUGUGUGAGUGCACCAUCAGAGUGGUGCUCUAUGUAUGUAUGUGUAUAUAUGCGCAUAUAAAGACUUAUAAAGAGAAAAAUCUGAGCACAAGUUUGGGUUUUGAUUAAUUUAAUUGUUUUAUGUAAUUCUAUGCUGCAAUCCAAAGAAUAAAUGUGUAUUAUAAUACAUAUAUAAUUUUCAUUUUUUAUCAUCUGAAUAGUAAUCUGGUAAUGAAAAAUAAAAAAAGAAAAAAAUGAACAGAGUAUUUGUUC